rnacentral:rRNA from 1 species
UACGAAGGGGGCUAGCGUUGCUCGGAAUCACUGGGCGUAAAGGGUGCGUAGGCGGGUUUUUAAGUCAGAGGUGAAAUCCUGGAGCUCAACUCCAGAACUGCCUUUGAUACUGAAAGUCUUGGGUAUGGGAGAGGUGAGUGGAACUGCGAGUGUAGAGGUGAAAUUCGUAGAUAUUCGCAAGAACACCAGUGGCGAAGGCGGCUCACUGGCCCAUUACUGACGCUGAGGCACGAAAGCGUGGGGAGCGAACAGG